UUUAGGGGAGCUUGGCUGGGACUUCAUCUGGAAGUGUUUUCCUCCCUUCAGCAGGCAAACAAGAUGGAACGACAGCGUUUGCAGGCACAGCAGCUGCUGGAGCAACGGGAACACUUCCCGGCAGAGGUGCAGAGGGAGCAGGAGAAAUAGCAGCUUGAGAUGAAGCAGGAAGUUGCCAUCAUUCAAGCUACCAAGAAGAGAUCACAAGGGCCCCCGCCACAUAAAUCUCCACUCCAGGUGCUUUUCAAAUGAAAA